UGCGUAGGUGGGCAGUUAAGUCAGUGGUGAAAUCUCCGGGCUUAACCCGGAAACUGCCAUUGAUACUAUCUGUCUUGAAUACCGUGGAGGUGAGCGGAAUAUGUCAUGUAGCGGUGAAAUGCUUAGAUAUGACAUAGAACACCAAUUGCGAAGGCAGCUCACUACACGAAUAUUGACACUGAGGCACGAAAGCGUGGGGAUCAAACAGGAUUAGAUACCCUGGUAGUCCACGCCCUAAACGAUGGAUACUCGACAUACGCGAUACACAGUGUGUGUCUGAGCGAAAGCAUUAAGUAUCCCACCUGGGAAGUACGACCGCAAGGUUGAA
rnacentral:rRNA from 1 species